UGCCCAGCAACUCCUAUCCCUACCUCCUCGUGGUACUGGCCGGUGUACGAGUAACCUUGGGGAAGAUCGGGUAACCAACCCCCGGUGGGAACUUUGGUCGUAUGCUGACAGGGAAGG
rfam:Aedes aegypti strain Liverpool supercont1.634 genomic scaffold, whole genome shotgun sequence.